AUCAACUGCUCUUCCACCAGAAGUGCAAGGAGGAAGUAGCAAUCACCCAUGUUUCAGCGGUGUGCGCAGAAGAAAUGCUGCUAUCCGAGCCAAACCUAUCCAUUCUCAAUUAAAAAAUGACUUAAUUGAGCAUAUUUGGCAACGAUACCAAAGCAGGCAAAAUAAUUAACCGUCAUUAUUUCAUUUUUCAUGGAGGCGAAUACCAGUGAUCAUGUUCUUCUGCUUAGGAGGUCAACAUUGUCUAUCUUUUGGUGAUUUUCACUUGUGUCUAAGGUUGCCCAGCGUUUGGUGGUAUUCUUCAAUGAAUGAAAUUAGCGGUAGCUUGUAGCUACUUUUGCUUAAUGAAUGAAAUUAGCAGUUGUAUCUGGAUAGCAUCUGUCUAGCUUGUAGCUGCUUUUGUUUAAGGAAUGAAAUAUCGUUUGUAUUUGUCUGAUGCUAUCAAGUUUAUGCCCAUCGACUCUCUUUUGUGACCGUAUAAUACCUAUUGUGUUACCUAGUUGCUGUGCAAGUAGUAUAA